GACGAACGCUGGCGGCGUGCUUAACACAUGCAAGUCGAACGAUGAACCCGGAGCUUGCUCUGGGGGAUUAGUGGCGAACGGGUGAGUAACACGUGAGUAACCUGCCCUGGACUCUGGGAUAAGCGUUGGAAACGACGUCUAAUACCGGAUAGGACCUUGGAUCGCAUGAUCUGGGGUGGAAAGUUUUUUCGGUCUGGGAUGGACUCGCGGCCUAUCAGCUUGUUGGUGAGGUAAUGGCUCACCAAGGCGUCGACGGGUAGCCGGCCUGAGAGGGUGACCGGCCACACUGGGACUGAGACACGGCCCAGACUCCUACGGGAGGCAGCAGGGGGGAAUAUUGCACAAUGGGCGAAAGCCUGAUGCAGCAACGCCGCGUGCGGGAUGACGGCCUUCGGGUUGUAAACCGCUUUUAGUAGGGAAGAAGGGCUUCGGCUUGACGGUACCUGCAGAAAAAGGACCGGCUAACUACGUG
rnacentral:rRNA from 1 species